rnacentral:rRNA from 1 species
GACGAACGCUGGCGGCGUGCUUAACACAUGCAAGUCGAACGGAAAGGCCCUGCUUUUGUGGGGUGCUCGAGUGGCGAACGGGUGAGUAACACGUGAGUAACCUGCCCUUGACUUUGGGAUAACUUCAGGAAACUGGGGCUAAUACCGGAUAGGAGCUCCUGCUGCAUGGUGGGGGUGGGAAAGUUUCGGCGGUUGGGGAUGGACUCGCGGCUUAGCAGCUUGUUGGUGGGGUAGUGGCUUACCAAGGCUUUGACGGGUAGCCGGCCUGAGAGGGUGACCGGCCACAUUGGGACUGAGAUACGGCCCAGACUCCUACGGGAGGCAGCAGUGGGGAAUAUUGCACAAUGGGCGGAAGCCUGAUGCAGCAACGCCGCGUGCGGGAUGACGGCCUUCGGGUUGUAAACCGCUUUCGCCUGUGACGAAGCGUGAGUGACGGUAAUGGGUAAAGAAGCACCGGCUAACUACGUG